rfam:Termitomyces sp. J132 unplaced genomic scaffold scaffold154, whole genome shotgun sequence.
GGUGAGAUGGCCGAGCGGUCUAAGGCGCCAGACUAAGGUUCAGUAAUAUCUUCAUUACUGCCUAAUCUGGUCUCUUCGGGGGCGGGAGUUCGAAUCUCCCUCUCAUCA